rnacentral:rRNA from 1 species
CCUACGGGGUGCAGCAGUCGAGAAUCAUUCACAAUGGGGGAAACCCUGAUGGUGCGACGCCGCGUGGGGGAAUGAAGGUCUUCGGAUUGUAAACCCCUGUCAUGUGGGAGCAAAUUAAAAAGAUAGUACCACAAGAGGAAGAGACGGCUAACUCUGUGCCAGCCGCCGCGGUAAUACAGAGGUCUCAAGCGUUGUUCGGAAUCACUGGGCGUAAGGCGUGCGUAGGCUGUUUCGUAAGUCGUGUGUGAAAGGCGCGGGCUCAACCCGCGGACGGCACAUGAUACUGCGAGACUAGAGUAAUGGAGGGGGAACCGGAAUUCUCGGUGUAGCAGUGAAAUGCGUAGAUAUCGAGAGGAACACUCGUGGCGAAGGCGGGUUCCUGGACAUUAACUGACGCUGAGGCACGAAGGCCAGGGGAGCGAAAGGGAUUAGAUACCCUGGUAGUC